AUUGAACGCUGGCGGCAGGCCUAACACAUGCAAGUCGAACGGUAGCACAGAGAGCUUGCUCUUGGGUGACGAGUGGCGGACGGGUGAGUAAUGUCUGGGAAACUGCCUGAUGGAGGGGGACAACUACUGGAAACGGUAGCUAAUACCGCAUAACGUCGCAAGACCAAAGAGGGGGACCUUCGGGCCUCUUGCCAUCAGAUGUGCCCAGAUGGGAUUAGCUAGUAGGUGGGGUAACGGCUCACCUAGGCGACGAUCCCUAGCUGGUCUGAGAGGAUGACCAGCCACACUGGAACUGAGACACGGUCCAGACUCCUACGGGAGGCAGCAGUGGGGAAUAUUGCACAAUGGGCGCAAGCCUGAUGCAGCCAUGCCGCGUGUAUGAAGAAGGCCUUCGGGUUGUAAAGUACUUUCAGCGAGGAGGAAGGCCAUACGGUUAAUAACCGUGUCGAUUGACGUUACUCGCAGAAGAAGCACCGGCUAACUCCGUGCCAGCCGCCGCCGUAA
rnacentral:rRNA from 1 species